AGAACGAACGCUGGCGGCAUGCCUAAUACAUGCAAGUCGAACGAACACUUCGGUGUUAGUGGCGCACGGGUGCGUAACGCGUGGGAAUCUGCCCUUGGGUUCGGAAUAACAGUUGGAAACGACUGCUAAUACCGGAUGAUAUCGAAAGAUCAAAGAUUUAUCGCCCAGGGAUGAGCCCGCGUAGGAUUAGCUAGUUGGUGAGGUAAAGGCUCACCAAGGCGACGAUCCUUAGCUGGUCUGAGAGGAUGAUCAGCCACACUGGGACUGAGACACGGCCCAGACUCCUACGGGAGGCAGCAGUAGGGAAUAUUGGACAAUGGGCGCAAGCCUGAUCCAGCAAUGCCGCGUGAGUGAUGAAGGCCUUAGGGUUGUAAAGCUCUUUUACCCGAGACGAUAAUGACAGUAUCGGAGAAUAAGCCCGGCUAACGUCCGUGCCAGCAGCCGC
rnacentral:rRNA from 1 species